UACGGAGGGUGCAAGCGUUAUCCGGAUUCACUGGGUUUAAAGGGUGCGUAGGCGGGCAGGUAAGUCAGUGGUGAAAUCUCCGAGCUUAACUCGGAAACUGCCAUUGAUACUAUUUGUCUUGAAUAUUGUGGAGGUAAACGGAAUAUGUCAUGUAGCGGUGAAAUGCUUAGAUAUGACAUAGAACACCAAUUGCGAAGGCAGCUUACUACACAAUGAUUGACGCUGAGGCACGAAAGCGUGGGGAUCAAACAGG
rnacentral:rRNA from 1 species